rnacentral:rRNA from 1 species
UAAUACGUAGGGUGCUAGCGUUGUUCGGAAUCAUUGGGCGUAAAGCGCGUGUAGGUUGUUAGGUAAGUCGAUUGUGAAAUCCCUGGGCUCAACCGAGGAAGUGCAGUCGAAACUACCUAGCUAGAAGACGGCAGAGGAAGGUGGAAUUCCUAGUGUAGAGGUGAAAUUCGUAGAUAUUAGGAGGAAUACCGGUGGCGAAGGCGGCCUUCUGGACCGAUCUUGACACUGAGACGCGAAAGCGUGGGGAGCAAACAGGAUUAGAUACCCUGGUAGUCCACGCUGUAAACGAUGGGUACUAGAUGUUGCAGGAAUUGACCCCUGCAGUGUCGACGCUAACGCAUUAAGUACCCCGCCUGGGAAGUACGGCCGCAAGGUUA